CUUUUCUUUGAUCUCUACACCAGCUCAAUAUGUUUGUGUUUCUGUUUUCCUUGUGACUUAGCAUUUGCACUGCUUGGCCCUAGAGUUUUGCUGAACAGAUACCUGCACCUGUUUCAUAACCUCUCCUGGCUAUAAACCUGAGCACCAAUGCUUGACUUAUUGAGGUCCUGGUAAGGAAUACGGAACUAAUAAGCCACUACCAACCGGAAUAGCUCAGGAAAGGUCAAAAGGAGACACCAUGUGUCCGUCCACCUCCCAGAAUCCUCUCUGGCAUCCAUCUUGGCUGAACAAGGCAUGUACCACCAGGAAGGACUCAGUCGCAAUGAUUGGCUAAGGACAACCGGAAGCUAAUCCCAUCACCAUAAAACCUUAGACUGGGAGUCACAUGUCAGAGCUGUUCUCCUGGGUUCCUUUACCCUACUGCUCUCCACCCGGGUGCC